rnacentral:rRNA from 1 species
GUGGGGAAUCUUAGACAAUGGGGGAAACCCUGAUCUAGCCAUGCCGCGUGAGCGAUGAAGGCCUUAGGGUUGUAAAGCUCUUUCAGCUGGGAAGAUAAUGACGGUACCAGCAGAAGAAGCCCCGGCUAACUCCGUGCCAGCAGCCGCGGUAAUACGGAGGGGGCUAGCGUUGUUCGGAAUUACUGGGCGUAAAGCGCGCGUAGGCGGACCAGAAAGUUGGAGGUGAAAUCCCAGGGCUCAACCUUGGAACUGCCUUCAAAACUACAGGUAUGGUGUUCGAGAGAAGUGAGUGGAAUUCCGAGUGUAGAGGUGAAAUUCGUAGAUAUUCGGAGGAACACCAGUGGCGAAGGCGGCUCACUGGCUCGAUACUGACGCUGAGGUGCGAAAGCGUGAGGAGCAAACAGGAUUAGAAACCCCGGUAGUCC